UCCCAGAAUGACAGAAGCGACUACAAACACCCGGGAAGAGCAGGCACAAGGAGAGGAACGAGCGAUAGAAAAGAGUUUUGCUGCCAAGCUUGAGCCAAAAGUCUGAUUUGGGAGAACGUUGCAGGGUGAAACUGGACAGGUUCAUUGCUAACCUCAAGACACAAACAGAAGGAGUCGGGAACACUCAAACACAGCAGCAUCAGACCUUGCUUCAUUGAGACAAGCUCCUGGAAAUGAUCUGAACUGCAGGUGCAAACCAGGAGAGGGUCAGGCCUUGAUCUGGCAAACACCUGAACCAUCUGGGAGAGAGAGUGCCUGGCUUUGCUGAUGUCCCUGGCUGCUGACUUCCCCUCCCCAAGAUUUUAAAGUCUGUCAA